rnacentral:rRNA from 1 species
UUAUAAGAGACAGCAGUAGCCGCGGGAAUACGUAGGGUGCAAGCGUUAAUCGGAAUUACUGGGCGUAAAGCGUGCGCAGGCGGUUAUAUAAGACAGAUGUGAAAUCCCCGGGCUCAACCUGGGAACUGCAUUUGUGACUGUAUAGCUAGAGUACGGCAGAGGGGGAUGGAAUUCCGCGUGUAGCAGUGAAAUGCGUAGAUAUGCGGAGGAACACCGAUGGCGAAGGCAAUCCCCUGGGCCUGUACUGACGCUCAUGCACGAAAGCGUGGGGAGCAAACAGGAUUAGAGACCCCUGUAGUCCCUGUCUCUUAUAC